rnacentral:rRNA from 2 species
GAAAUUCCUUGUCGGGUAAGUUCCGACCUGCACGAAUGGCGUAAUGAUGGCCAGGCUGUCUCCACCCGAGACUCAGUGAAAUUGAACUCGCUGUGAAGAUGCAGUGUACCCGCGGCAAGACGGAAAGACCCCGUGAACCUUUACUAUAGCUUGACACUGAACAUUGAGCCUUGAUGUGUAGGAUAGGUGGGAGGCUUUGAAGCGUGGACGCCAGUCUGCGUGGAGCCGACCUUGAAAUACCACCCUUUAAUGUUUGAUGUUCUAACGUGGACCCGUUACCCGGGUUGCGGACAGUGUCUGGUGGGUAGUUUGACUGGGGCGGUCUCCUCCUAAAGAGUAACGGAGGAGCACGAAGGUUGGCUAAUCCUGGUCGGACAUCAGGAGGUUAGUGCAAUGGCAUAAGCCAGCUUGACUGCGAGCGUGACGGCGCGAGCAGGUGCGAAAGCAGGUCAUAGUGAUCCGGUGGUUCUGAAUGGAAGGGCCAUCGCUCAACGGAUAAAAGGUACUCCGGGGAUAACAGGCUGAUACCGCCCAAGAGUUCAUAUCGACGGCGGUGUUUGGCACCUCGAUGUCGGCUCAUCACAUCCUGGGGCUGAAGUAGGUCCCAAGGGUAUGGCUGUUCGCCAUUUAAAGUGGUACGCGAGCUGGGUUUAGAACGUCGUGAGACAGUUCGGUCCCUAUCUGCCGUGGGCGCUGGAGAACUGAGGGGGGCUGCUCCUAGUACGAGAGGACCGGAGUGGACGCAUCACUGGUGUUCGGGUUGUCAUGCCAAUGGCACUGCCCGGUAGCUAAAUGCGGAAGAGAUAAGUGCUGAAAGCAUCUAAGCACGAAACUUGCCCCGA